ACACGCAGCUUAUAAUUGGAGACACCUUUUCCUUCAUCCGCUUCCACGAUUCUUCUGCAAUUCGAACUACCAGAUCCAAGAUAUGGAUCCUAUGCCUGAACCAGUGAGUUACCUCUGUGGUGACUGUGGAAUUGAGAAUACGCUUAAGACUGGUGAUGUUAUUCAGUGCCGUGACUGUGGUUAUAGAAUCCUUUACAAGAAGCGCACCCGGCGUAUUGUGCAGUACGAGGCUCGUUAAGAUGGUUCUUUGGAGCGUGUUAACUGUUCCCAU